AGUAGCUGCAUCACUGAAGGCUAGCUGUUGCCUCGCGCUGUCUCUUGGGAAUUCAGUUGUAGCAGGAAAAAGGAACAGUAAUUUACAGAUGGGAG